rnacentral:misc_RNA from 1 species
AAGUCGUAACAAGGUUUCCGUAGGUGAACCUGCGGUAUCCAAACGUUAAAACCCCCCCCUUCAUCCUGCUCUUGUGUAGUUAUUCAGAGACCUCUGGCUACGUGCGAACAUUGGAACAGUUACAAUCGAGCGGUAGUUCUAUAGGCAAUGUUUCCCCAAGCAGUCAGUGUCGGAAAGUGUCAUUGAUUGUGCAAGGAUAGCGCUUCUACGAUUCCUGUAGACCGUACACUCGGGCAGGAGCUUUGCCAAAGGGUCCCCAUGCCCCCUAAUAACCCCACAGUUUAAUGUGAAGCUCAAUGUAAUACAUUGGGUAAAAAAACCGAACAACUGUUAACAAUGGAUAUCUUGGUUCUC